rnacentral:lncRNA from 1 species
GAAAACUGAGACCCAGUGAUGUGCUGCUGAAGUCUCUAAUAACACAUCAUGCCCACAGUACCUGCUGAAAACCCACUGAAAGGCCAGCAGGAAGAGUCAGAGGGAAUUCAGCCUCACCCCAGUCCUAGCUGUGAAACAAGCAGGGUAAGCAAACAGCCUUGCUAACUCAAGCAGAGGCAAAGCAGGAUGUUUGCUGGCAUUGCCCCCCAUGCAGCCUGUUUCUGACAGCUCGCAGCUUUGCCAUUUUGUGCCUUGCUGUUUGCUGGGGUGGGGUUUUUACUCCCAAAGAUAAUUCUGUAACUGCAAACCUGUUUUUUCCCUGAACGUUAGGUGCUCACACGUGUGCUUUGCUCCUGUCUGCAGUGAGAAGACAACCCUGCCUGUCCUAGCAGAUGGCUCCACACAUGUAUGGAGAGAACAUUAAGCAAAGCCAUGAACAAGGUUUCCCUGAGCAGUACUGGUGGCUCUGGCUGUGGGGCUGGAAGUUUGAUGACAGUUGUGAGUGACCGUCGUGCCUGAGUGGGCCAGCUGAAGGUGCAGGGAGGAGACUCUGAGGGCAUUGGCAAGGCAGCACAGAAGUGAAUCUGACCUGACUGUCCAUAUGGAGUCUGGCACCUGCACCGGCUUUCAGCCUCCCCCAGCCUCUGUCUCAGAGAAAUAAAAGAGGCAUCUUGGCUUCUUCCUUCCCCAGCACGUACCCUGGCAAUGGAGAAAGCUGAAGCACUAACUCGUGCCAUGGGGAAUGAGCAGUGGUAGAAGACCUCGGGGACCUGGAGCCAUGCAGACACUGAUGGAUUGUGCAAGUCAGGAGAGUAAAGGAGCAGCGCUCUCCAUAUUUAAAGGUGAUAGAGGCCACCAGGAAGAAACAAGUAAGAGAGCUGACCAAAUAUUCUUGAAUGCCACUGUCCAGUCAGUUUCAAAAGUGAAGUGUUCUCUUUGGCGUAACACGUUGGUAAGUUCCUUGUCUUCUUUUGGAUGCCUGUAA